rnacentral:rRNA from 1 species
AUGAUCGAAUUACACUAUUUGCUUCCUGCUAGACGACGAGAGCGGCAACCAAAAGACGGUGAUCGAACUACACUAUUUGCAUCGGUGACUAUACCCAGUGACUGCACAAGCUGCAAACUCCACCAUGCCGAAGGGCAAAGCCCCAUGGUCCAGCAGCUGCCUUGUCUGCAUGACUGCGUCAUCCGUGUGCCACAGAUGAACAUAAAUAAAACAGAACCACAGAUGAACAAAAAUAAAACAGAGCCAGAAAAGAUCAAAAGUAGGGAAGCACCAAAUUCAAACUUAAAAACGAGAAGCUCUAAGCUUCAAGGGUUCCAAACCAAAGCAAACAUCAUGAUCCAUCAUGUCCUUCAGACCAACGACUCCAUCGAACGACUACUACUACUUCCAGCUAGAUGA